AGAAGAAGCUCCGGCUAACUUCGUGCCAGCAGCCGCGGUAAUACGAAGGGGGCUAGCGUUGUUCGGAAUUACUGGGCGUAAAGCGCGCGUAGGCGGAUUGGAAAGUUGGGGGUGAAAUCCCAGGGCUCAACCCUGGAACUGCCUCCAAAACUAUCAGUCUAGAGUUCGAGAGAGGUGAGUGGAACUCCGAGUGUAGAGGUGAAAUUCGUAGAUAUUCGGAAGAACACCAGUGGCGAAGGCGGCUCACUGGCUCGAUACUGACGCUGAGGUGCGAAAGUGUGGGGAGCAAACAGGAUUAGAUACCCUGGUAGUCCACGCCGUAAACGAUGCACACUAGGU
rnacentral:rRNA from 1 species